CCUACGGGAGGCAGCAGUGGGGAAUUUUGGACAAUGGGCGAAAGCCUGAUCCAGCAAUGCCGCGUGAGUGAAGAAGGCCUUCGGGUUGUAAAGCUCUUUUGUCAGGGAAGAAACGGUGUGGGCUAAUAUCCUGCACUAAUGACGGUACCUGAAGAAUAAGCACCGGCUAACUACGUGCCAGCAGCCGCGGUAAUACGUAGGGUGCAAGCGUUAAUCGGAAUUACUGGGCGUAAAGCGUGCGCAGGCGGUUUUGUAAGUCUGUCGUGAAAUCCCCGGGCUCAACCUGGGAAUUGCGAUGGAGACUGCAAGGCUAGAAUCUGGCAGAGGGGGGUAGAAUUCCACGUGUAGCAGUGAAAUGCGUAGAGAUGUGGAGGAACACCGAUGGCGAAGGCAGCCCCCUGGGUCAAGAUUGACGCUCAUGCACGAAAGCGUGGGGAGCAAACAGGAUUAGAUACCCUGGUAGUCCACGCCCUAAACGAUGUCUACUAGUUGUCGGGUUUUAAUUAACUUGGUAACGCAGCUAACGCGUGAAGUAGACCGCCUGGGGAUACGGUCGCAAGAUUAAAACUCAAAGGAAUUGACGG
rnacentral:rRNA from 1 species